CAGUCGCCGCGGUAAUACGGAGGGUGCAAGCGUUAAUCGGAAUUACUGGGCGUAAAGAGUGCGUAGGUGGUUAGAUAAGUUAUGUGUGAAAUCCCUGGGCUUAACCUGGGCAGGUCAUAUAAUACUGUUUGACUCGAGUAUGGGAGAGGGUAGUGGAAUUUCCGGUGUAGCGGUGAAAUGCGUAGAGAUCGGAAGGAACACCAGUGGCGAAGGCGGCUACCUGGCCUAAUACUGACACUGAGGCACGAAAGCGUGGGGAGCAAACAGGAUUAGAUACCCCCGUAGUCCCUGUCUCUUAUAC
rnacentral:rRNA from 1 species